rnacentral:rRNA from 1 species
UACAUGGGGUGCAACCGUUGCUCGGAAUUAUUGGGCGUAAAGAGCUCGUAGGCGGUGUGUCGCGUCGGCCGUGAAAACCUGCAGCUUAACUGUGGGCUUGCGGUCGAUACGGGCAUCACUGGAGUUCGGCAGGGGAGACUGGAAUUCCUGGUGUAGCGGUGAAAUGCGCAGAUAUCAGGAGGAACACCGGUGGCGAAGGCGGGUCUCUGGGCCGAUACUGACGCUGAGGAGCGAAAGCGUGGGGAGCGAACAGG